AGCUGGUGCUGUGGCAUGUGGAAGUCUGGGGCUGACGGGUGGUGGAUUACAAAUGCAGACAUUGUGGCUGCGGGCUGAGAAGGGCCUGGGACUUACGUUGCUCUUCUUCUGCAGGCAGGAAUGCCGUCAGCCUGCACCAGUCACUGCACCGUCCUUCAUCCUGGUCUAGCACCACAGGCAAAGACUCUUUAAGGGUCUUCAGUCAUCAGCUGCACAGCUGCUCUUAUGAGGAGCAGCAGCUCAACCCUGUUCCCAUUUGAUCAUUCUCUUUGCCUCCUGAGUUUACUUGUGCUGGACACAGUUGUGCAAGGAAGUACCUGAGGACCAUAACUUCACAUGGAGACUGUGAGCCUUCCUCCUCCGUGCGCCCUCACAAUAAUGCAGUGACCCUAUGGAUUUCACUUGCAGGAAGAGCAUCU